CUCCUCUGUUCAGCGAGGCCCAGUUGGCUCCGCCACAGCUUCUUUUGUCCUGUGACCUGCAGGUACUGAAAGCUCCACAGGGAGGACACCAGUACACCCCGGAUGCCAGGAAGUGGCUUCUGAACGGUUGGGGACCCAAGAUGCCCACAGUGACCACGUUUCCUGGAGUGUUUGGCAAAUAACCUCAGGCCUGGGUUACCUCCUCAUAGAGGACAGUCUGAGGUUGAUUUCUGGAUAUUUAUUUUGUUUCUUUGAUUGGCCACGUCAACUGUGUACGUUGUAUAUGUUAAAAUUUGGGCAUUAAAAAAUAGUCACCUGUCAACGGCUUUGUCCAGGGGAAGUCUGACACCAAUUGGCUGAGCUAACGAUUCUGUGAGGCUCUGAAGCUUGUUUUCAGAGUGUGUCUUCUCUGAAGAUGUGUCUUCAUUUUCCACUUAAAAAGCACUCUAUGUCAUGGGAGAGAGAAACCAGUCUUUGGAAAGGCCUUAAAAAUCCAGAAGUAUGGACAUGUGUGCCAGUAUUUUCUUUCUCUCUUGAGGGAGAAUCCAGGAGUUGGGUGUUUACUUCUAAAUGCAGCAUUCUACAUUGAAGAAGAGGAAGAGAUGUGCUAUGCCUUCUCAUUACACCCAAGACCUUUUGACAGAGAAGGGCAUAAAAGAUUUAUUCCAAAAAGUCACACUGGGAAGAUAUGGAAGCUGUGACCUUGAGAAUUGAAACCUAAGGAAAGACUGGGUAAAUAUAAGGAGCAGAAAGGAUGUUCUAAUGAACUUAAGCAAUGUUCAUCAACUACACAUAGCAAAAUCUUCAGAUGUAAUAAAUGUGUGAAAGUCUUUGGUAAAUUAUCAAAUCUAAAUAGACAUAAAACAUGCUGGAGAGAAACCUUUCAAAUGUGAAGAAUGUGGCAAAUCCUUUCACAUGUACUCAAUCCUAACAUAACAUCAGAGAAUCCAUACUCAUGAAAAGAAUUUUAUGAAUCCCUACAAAUAUAAACAAUAUGGAAAAGUC